UCCGGUUUGACACCGGCAGUCUCCCUAGAGUGCCCGGCAUAACCCGCUGGUAACUAGGGACAAGGGUUGCGCUCGUUGCGGGACUUAACCCAACAUCUCACGACACGAGCUGACGACAGCCAUGCAGCACCUGUGUUCCGGUUCCCUUUCGGGCACAACCUCCUCUCAGAGGCCUUCCGGACAUGUCAAGGGUAGGUAAGGUUUUUCGCGUUGCAUCGAAUUAAU
rnacentral:misc_RNA from 1 species